CCAAAGGGAAAAAACUGAAGUUCUAAAUUGUCUAUGACUUUAAUUUCCACUGUUGUCCUAAAGAAAUUGGAACUUGUAAGGUCUUUCAAAACCAAAUUUCACAUUUGUAACAGAUACUGUUUUUUUUUUUAAACCAAUAACUGAAAACAAUUUGAAUAAUGUAUUAAAAUACUUUUUAAACAACAUAAUUUACUUGGAAAUUCUAUUAUCUCUCUGCUUUUCUUUGAGACUAAUCAGCUUUUAAAUAAGAUCCACCAUAAAUGCUAAUUUAGUUGGGGAAAAACACUGUAACUAAAUAUUCAUUUUUGUGUCAAAAACACACUCAAUUUUUUUUUCUGACAGAAAAAUGUCCAUUUUUGCUUGACUUGAAAUAGUAAAAUUAAGAGAAAAGCAAAUGACCAUUAUUC
rnacentral:lncRNA from 1 species